UGUUAUUGUGUGCCUUGUGCCGUUUAGCGAUAGAAUUAUCGGCAAUUUUAGUUUAAAAGAAGACUGGUUUCUUUGUGUAGCUAGCAACAUUUAUGGAUAACUAGCGUUGCAACGAUAUUGGUGGCAGCUUUCCAAGGAUUCCCCUUAGCACCCUUGAUCAGCGGAGCGAGUUUUCACGGCGUUCGACGAUGUUGGUGCCUAUGCACAAUUCUUCAAUAAACUACACCCGUUCGGAAACA